GAUGAACGCUGGCGGCGUGCCUAAUACAUGCAAGUCGAGCGAACAGACGAGGAGCUUGCUCCUCUGACGUUAGCGGCGGACGGGUGAGUAACACGUGGAUAACCUACCUAUAAGACUGGGAUAACUUCGGGAAACCGGAGCUAAUACCGGAUAAUAUAUUGAACCGCAUGGUUCAAUAGUGAAAGACGGUUUUGCUGUCACUUAUAGAUGGAUCCGCGCCGCAUUAGCUAGUUGGUAAGGUAACGGCUUACCAAGGCGACGAUGCGUAGCCGACCUGAGAGGGUGAUCGCCCACACUGGAACUGAGACACGGUCCAGACUCCCACGGGAGGCAGCAGUAGGGAAUCUUCCGCAAUGGGCGAAAUCCUGACGGAGCAACGCCGCGUGAGUGAUGAAGGUCUUCGGAUCGUAAAACUCUGUUAUUAGGGAAGAACAAAUGUGUAAGUAACUAUGCACGUCUUGACGGUACCUAAUCAGAAAGCCACGGCUAACUACGUG
rnacentral:rRNA from 1 species